UUUUUUUUUUUUUUUUUUUUUUUUGUGUUGGGCAUUAGAUUUGCGAUCUGGGUCCAAUGUUUGAAUCCAAUUAUUGGAUUAUUUCAGUUACUCUGCUCUGUCCUUUCUGCACAAUCGUCUGAAUUCUUGUAUUGAAAGUGUGCUGCAGUUAAUCUUCCAGGAUAGUCUUACUGAACAGGGAAAUUGAGUGAAUUGAUGUUUUCCCAUUUUUCUCUACCUCCUUUUAGAUCCCAAGCAAAGGUGAGACAGCAAAAUGGAAAUCAAAAUCCUGGAGUCUGCAGAUUAGAGAUAGAGGUAUCAAUCUCUUGCAGUCCCUGAACACUUGCUUCAGCAAGCUCCUAUCAAUAACCAAUUCGUUCUGUAGGAUAUUGCAAGAUGCUUUUUAUUACCUCUGUUGACAGCCAGUUCCUACUCUCCAUGCAUGCAAGAAGAUUUAUGGGCCCUGAGAUGUCACCUUGCCUCCCCUUUGAGCUUGCAUCCUUGGAUGAAAUCUGGAGCUUCUUGUAGACCUUCUUCCUUGCAUAUUUGUUUCAUUUCAUGCUGAAUUGACUGAAUUCUUGCUCUGGACUUUGCCUUGAUGUGACCAAAUUUUAUCUUCAGUAUAUAAAGUUGCAGUAAACCUAUUUCCUGUUUUGUUGAAAUUCUUUAAUUUAGUACAUUUUAAUGUAUCUGUCCAUGGUUUUUUUCUUGUGUAUAUAAUAUCAAAUAGGAAAGAAAAUUCAGGAUGAUUUGAAGGAAUGAUUCAGGAUGAUUUAUCAGCACUAACAUGGGAAUAGUUCUGUUAUUUUUGGGCAAGGGCCAGUAAAUGAGUUAUUUGGGACAUGAUAAGUGAAGCGGAAACUAUUCUAAGAAACUUCGUUAUCAUGUAUAACCCACACAAAUUACUGUAUAUGUGCAGAGGAAUACUUUCAAGAAUUUUAAAUUCUUACUAAAGACUAGAAUGAAUUCAAAAUAUAAAUAUAAGUUUAUUACAACAAUCCUAUUGAUUGAAGAAGGUGAUGGUUUCUAGAGCAGUUUAGAUGUGAUGAAUUCUUACCAAAGGAAGACAGGCUCCAGGAGAUGCUUGUCUAGAUGGGGUUACUGGCUGACUCCCUUGAGGACCAGACCUCUAUCUCCAGUACAGUUUGUCUGUUGUGAGGUCACCACUUCCAGAGCCCAUGGGCCUGAGGCAGUUGAUGUUCCAGCUAGGGUGACUCCAAAGUCAGGGAUUUCUGUUCCCUUUCUCACCUGUUUGCUCAUUCCCAGCCUUUGUCUGAGCACCCCAGGUGCAGCCCAGUUAGGCACACUGUCACUGCAUCUCCAGCAGCAGUGUGCUAUUUUGCUGAGCAGGCAUAAGAGGAAUCAAAGAGUGCUUGUAUUUUUCACAGAACAGCAUUCUAGGCCGGGGUUGAUUUAUAAUGACUUUUAUAAAGAUCAGGUUUGGUCAAGAAAGAAAACAAAUGCACUUUAAACGCGCAGGCAGGACCCACAAACUUUGGUGGGACAUGAUUUUUGUCAUUUCUAGCGGGGCCUCUUCCAUGUUGUGCAACUGGGAUCACUGGCACACCUUGGCCCUUUGCUCCAGGGACCCCUUGGAGCUGUGAUGAAACACACAUGUUGCCUCUGACUUGAGGAUCCUCUUUUUCUGAGACUGGAUUAUUUAGCUUGGUGUAAUUGGAGCUUGGAAAACUUCUCUGGUGGUAUAGAGGACUUCCUUUCAGUCGUCCAGAAAUACCAGCAGCCAGACUUACUCAUGUGAUGGCCUUGGUUUUGUAAGAGUACAGUUACUCUUCCUACUUUUCACCAUGCUGGCUUGCCCAGUGCCUCCAACCAUAUCUUUUUUAUUCUGCAAAGUGGAAGAAAAUAGCAUCUUCCUGUGAGAUGCUCAGUCAGAAUAAGUAGUUCAUUUGAAGCUCACUGGUGAUCAGGAAUGUUGAGAGAAAAUCUGGUGGAGGGAUUAAUUGUGGUUUUGGGGAUGGGAUAUAUGUGAUCAUAAUUGUGAUCUGAUCCUUGAAAGAACGUAGAAAAAGCGGGGCUUGGUUCAGGUUUCUUGUAUCUAAUUCUUCACUGCUGAUAGUGGGUCUAAGCAAUUUGCUGGAUAAGAUCUUAGGUUCAUAACAGCCAAUUUUGUAGACACAAU
ensembl:lncRNA